UGAGGGACUUCAGGCUUGUGGCGGCGGCUGGCAGCAGAGCAGCAUUGUGAAGUGCCCAAUUGAUGAAGAGUGAAGACGGUGGUGGUCAUCCUUCUCUCCAGAUGUGUGUCCAUUCUCCAACAGAACAGGACCCGCCAACCCCGCUGACACUCCCCGCGGCGAUGGCCAUGAGAGGCGGGAUUGCUCUGAGAGGACCACGGUGUUCUCACUCUUACGGCAAGAUGAAGCUGAGAGGCGGUGUGUGAAAACUGACACAGCAGAAACUGAAGCUCGGAG